UACAAGAUCAAUUAACCUCCACGAAAGCCAGGACACAAACUGGGAUUAGAUACCCCACUAUGCCUGGCCUUAAAUCUUGAUACUUACCCCACUAAAGUAUCCGCCUGGGAACUACGAGCACAAACGCUUAAAACCCUAAGGACUUGGCGGUGCCCCAAACCCACCUAGAGGAGCCUGUUCUAUAAUCGAUAACCCACGAUGCACCUGACCCUUCCUUGACAGAACAGUCUAUAUACCGCCGUCGCCAGCCUACCUCAAUGAGAGUAUAACAGUGGACACAACAGCCCCACCCCCGCUAGAAAGACAGGUCAAGGUAUAGCCUAUGGAAGGGGAGAAAUGGGCUACAUUUUCUAAACUAGAAAACUUUCACGGAAGGGAGUGUGAAACUACUCCUAGAAGGUGGAUUUAGCAGUAAAGCAGGAC
rnacentral:ncRNA from 1 species